rnacentral:rRNA from 1 species
UUGAUCCUGGCUCACGAUGAACGCUCGCUACAGGCUUAACACAUGCGAGUCGAGGGGCAGCAUCGCGAUAGCUUGCUAUUGCGGAUGGCGACCGGCGCACGGGUGAGUAACGCGUAUCCAACCUUCCCGCAACUGGGGAAUAACCUUGCGAAAGUAAGACUAAUACCCCAUGGUCUCCACGGAUGGCAUCUGAAAUGGAGUAAAGGUUUCGGCUGGUUGCGGAUGGGGAUGCGUCCGAUUAGCUUGGCGGCGGGGUAACGGCCCACCGUGGCAUCGAUCGGUAGGGGUUCUGAGAGGAAGGUCCCCCACAUUGGAACUGAGACACGGUCCAAACUCCUACGGGAGGCAGCAGUGAGGAAUAUUGGUCAAUGGGCGGAAGCCUGAACCAGCCAAGUAGCGUGAAGGACGACUGCCCUAUGGGUUGUAAACUUCUUUUAUGCGGGGAUAAAGUUCGCCACGUGUGGCGUUUUGCAGGUACCGCAUGAAUAAGGACCGGCUAAUUCCGUGCCAGCAGCCGCGGUAAUACGGAAGGUCCAGGCGUUAUCCGGAUUCAUUGGGUUUAAAGGGAGCGUAGGCCGCCUUUUAAGCGUGUUGUGAAAUGUAGGGGCUCAACCCCUGCACUGCAGCGCGAACUGGAGGGCUUGAGUACACACAAAGUANGCGGAAUUCAUGGUGUAACGGUGAAAUGCUUAGAUAUCAUGAAGAACCCCGAUUGCGAAGCCAGCUUAGCUGGAGGUGUAACUGACGCUGAAGCUCGAAAGCGCGGGUAUCGAACAGGAUUAGAUACCCUGGUAGUCCGCGCGGUAAACGAUGGAUGCCCGCUGUUUGCCACUUUGGUAAGCGGCCAAGCGAAAGCGUUAAGCAUCCCACCUGGGGAGUACGCCGGCAACGGUGAAACUCAAAGGAAUUGACGGGGGCCCGCACAAGCGGAGGAACAUGUGGUUUAAUUCGAUGAUACGCGAGGAACCUUACCCGGGCUUGAAUUGCAGGAGAACGAUCCAGAGAUGGUGAGGCCCUUCGGGGCUCCUGUGAAGGUGCUGCAUGGUUGUCGUCAGCUCGUGCCGUGAGGUGUCGGCUUAAGUGCCAUAACGAGCGCAACCCCUCUCCGUAGUUGCCAUCGGGUGAAGCCGGGCACUCUGCGGAUACUGCCACCGUAAGGUGUGAGGAAGGUGGGGAUGACGUCAAAUCAGCACGGCCCUUACGUCCGGGGCUACACACGUGUUACAAUGGGGCAUACAGAAAGCAGGCGGCCGGCAACGUCCGUCUAAUCAUCAAAGUGUCCCUCACCCCGCCCUGGGGUCUGCAACCCGACCCCACGAAGCUGGAUUCGCUAGUAAUCGCGCAUCAGCCAUGGCGCGGUGAAUACGUUCCCGGGGCCCUUGUACACACCGCCCGUC